AUGUUUACUGAUGAUGAGCCGUUUUCAAUGCAGGAAAUAAAUCUAUUCCCCAAAAGAAAUUGGCCCCCAAGUUACUUCUUUCUUUUAAACAUAACAAAUUGGGGUAGAUUUAUGUUUUUGCUCAUUCAUUCUUUCAUCUGCCGGCAGCUAUUUUAAGAACUACGUGUAAGACAGAUUCUGAUGACCUUGGGAAAGUCACAAGACCUCAGUUUCUUCAGUGAUGAAAGAAAAGACAUUUUUCCACCGCCCUUUAACCACGACUCAAUGCCAAUGCUCAGAUGAGAAAUACGCCAAAAGCCCAGGGUACCUCCAAACUUGUGAAAUUUCUACGUCUCCAAAAAUAUUGACUAUAUUUGAGACAGUAUAAUAAAAGCCAGGUGACCGAUGGUUCCUAAAGGUUUGCUCAGUAGUAGUGUGAGCAGGGGUCUUCUGGGCCACCUGAAUUCAGUCCGCCCCAUGUCUCGGCAUCUCGCUCAAUUUCCUUAAGAAUGGAUUAAACCGAGGGCCUGCCUCCGUCCCUGUGCGGUGUCGACGGAGAAACGGAAUCUUCUUGCUCCCAUGGAGUUUUGCUUUCUGGUACUGUGGUUUGCUCUCUGUUACGGCCAGAAACCGGAACAGAAGGAAAGGGAGAAAGCAGGGAAGGUCGGAGACGACAGUGCUCAGAGCUGCAUGGUCGGCAGCUUCUAAAGCGUGGAGGAUGGGACGGAGGAGGAGCAGAAUACGGCGAAAGGGGGAAAGCAAAGGAAAAAUAUUCACGCCAAUGGGUAAAAGGGAAAAGGUGAGAAGGAAUGGAGUAGGAGAGGGA
ensembl:lncRNA